GACGAACGCUGGCGGCGUGCCUAAUACAUGCAAGUAGAACGCACAGUUUAUACCGUAGCUUGCUACACCAUAAACUGUGAGUUGCGAACGGGUGAGUAACGCGUAGGUAACCUGCCUGGUAGCGGGGGAUAACUAUUGGAAACGAUAGCUAAUACCGCAUAAUAUUAAUUAUUGCAUGAUAAUUGAUUGAAAGGUGCAAUUGCAUCACUACCAGAUGGACCUGCGUUGUAUUAGCUAGUAGGUGAGGUAACGGCUCACCUAGGCGACGAUACAUAGCCGACCUGAGAGGGUGAUCGGCCACACUGGGACUGAGACACGGCCCAGACUCCUACGGGAGGCAGCAGUAGGGAAUCUUCGGCAAUGGACGAAAGUCUGACCGAGCAACGCCGCGUGAGUGAAGAAGGUUUUCGGAUCGUAAAGCUCGGUUGUAAGAGAAGAACGGGUGUGAGAGUGGAAAGUUCACACUGUGACGGUAUCUUACCAGAAAGGGACGGCUAACUACGUG
rnacentral:rRNA from 1 species